CUGCUCGGAGAUCAUUA
rnacentral:rRNA from 1 species